rnacentral:rRNA from 1 species
CGGUGUUUAACUGGCGUGAUGUGGGACGUCCUACCGGUGGGCUUAGCCUCGCGAGGGGCGGCCCAACUAAUAUCCCGUCGCGGUGCUCUUUACUGAGUGUCGAGUCGGGCCGGUACGUUUACUUUGAACAAAUUAGAGUGCUUAAAGCAGGCUAUCCUCGCCUGAAUACUGCGUGCAUGGAAUAAUGGAAUAGGACCUCGGUUCUAUUUUGUUGGUUUUCGGAACCCCGAGGUAAUGAUUAAUAGGGACAGAUGGGGGCAUUCGUAUUGCGACGUUAGAGGUGAAAUUCUUGGAUCGUCGCAAGACGGACAGAAGCGAAAGCAUUUGCCAAAAAUGUUUUCAUUAAUCAAGAACGAAAGUUAGAGGUUCGAAGGCGAUCAGAUACCGCCCUAGUUCUAACCAUAAACGAUGCCAGCUAGCGAUCCGCCGAAGUUCCUCCGAUGACUCGGCGGGCAGCUUCCGGGAAACCAAAGCUUUUGGGUUCCGGGGGAAGUAUGGUUGCAAAGCUGAAACUUAAAGGAAUUGACGGAAGGGCACCACCAGGAGUGGAGCCUGCGGCUUAAUUUGACUCAACACGGGAAACCUCACCAGGCCCGGACACCGGAAGGAUUGACAGAUUGAUAGCUCUUUCUUGAUUCGGUGGGUGGUGGUGCAUGGCCGUUCUUAGUUGGUGGAGCGAUUUGUCUGGUUAAUUCCGAUAACGAACGAGACUCUAGCCUGCUAAAUAGGCGUACCUUAUGGUAUCGCGAAGGCCCCCGGCUUCGGCCGGUGGGUUUUUACUACCAACGUACAAACAAAUCUUCUUAGAGGGACAGGCGG